rnacentral:rRNA from 1 species
UUUAAGGUCUAACCUGCCCAAUGAGGAUUUAAAUGGCCGCAGUAUUUUGACUGUGCAAAGGUAGCAUAAUUAUUAGUUUUUUAAUUGAAAGCUUGUAUGAAGGGUUGGACGAGAUAAAAUCUGUCUUUAUUUAAAUUAGAGUAUAACUUAACUUUUAAGUCAAAAGGCUUAAAUGUUUAUAAAAGACGAGAAGACCCUAUAGAUCUUUAUUUAUUUAGGAUUUUAAUAGUUUAGGAUUAUUUUAAUUUGAAGUUUUAAAUAAAUUUUAUUGGGGUAAUAUAAAGAUUAAAUAAAUUCUUUUUAUUUAUUACAUUGAUUUAUGAAUAUAUGAUCCAUUAAUACUGAUUAUAAGAUUAAGUUACCUUAGGGAUAACAGCGUAAUUUUUUUGGAGAGCUCAUAUCGAUAAGAAAGUUUGCGACCUCGAUGUUGGAUUAAAAAUUAGCUUGGGUGCAGAAGCUCAAGAUUUUGGUCUGUUCGACCAUUAAAUUUUUACAUGAUCUGAGUUCAGACCGGCGUAAGCCAGGUCGGUUUCUAUCUUUAUUUAAAUAAAAUGUUUUAGUACGAAAGGACCAAAUAUUUAAUAUAGUUAUAUUUAUUUUUU